rnacentral:lncRNA from 1 species
ACAGCAUCCAGAAUCAAGGCUCUUGGAGCAGAUAACAACCUCUGACUGACAGCCAGCAAGGAAGUGGGAACCUCAGUGCCACUGCUGAAAGGAGCCGAACUCUGCCAGCAACCUGUGUGGGCCUGGCAACGUGUUCUCUCCCAGAGCCUCCACAGAAGAGCCAAGGCCAGGCAGUGCCUUGAUUUUGGUCUUGAGAUUGGGAGGAAAGAAGCCAGCCAAGCCCAUCCUACAGAACAAGGAAGGUUACAGAAGCAGGUACACAGUAAUUCUGCUCAAUUUGGAGCCUGAGAAAGAUGACUGAUGGCAACUCAGCUGCCCUCUGGCUCUCACUCCUGGAGCUUAACCUUUACAUAUGGAUACUACACAGGCCUGGUGCAAUCCUGGAAAAGGAGAGAAACAGAGAUAAGAUGGCUCUGUGAAGACCCAGAGGCACAAGGAGAACAGCAUAUGAAGAAGAAGACAGAACCUGGAGUGAUGCUUCCACAAGCAGGGAACACCAAGAAUUGCCAACCAUCACCAGAAGCUAGGAGAGGCAUGGAACAGAUGCUCCCUGGGGGCCCUCAGAAAGAACCAACGCUGCUGACAUCUUGAUUUUGGAUGGCUAGCCUCAAGAACUGUGAGAAAUAAAUUUCUCUUCUUUUAAGCCACCCAAUUUGUGGAACUUUGUUAUGGC